rnacentral:tRNA from 1 species
GGGUCUGUAGCUCAAUUGGUAGAGCGUCUACCUUGCAAGUAGAAAGAUGCCAGUACUGCUACGCAGAAGCAAGCUACAAAUCUGACCAGUAUCCACCA